rnacentral:rRNA from 1 species
GACGAACGCUGGCGGCGUGCUUAACACAUGCAAGUCGAACGCUGAAGCUCAGCUUUUGUUGGGUGGAUGAGUGGCGAACGGGUGAGUAACACGUGAGUAACCUGCCUCCUUCUUUGGGAUAACGCCCGGAAACGGGUGCUAAUACUGGAUAUUCACUGGUCUUCGCAUGGGGGUUGGUGGAAAGGGUUUUUCUGGUGGGGGAUGGGCUCGCGGCCUAUCGGCUGGUUGGUGGGGUGAUGGCCUACCAAGGCUUUGACGGGUAGCCGGCCUGAGGGGGUGCCCGGUCACAUUGGGACUGAGAUACGGCCCAGACUCCUACGGGAGGCAGCAGUGGGGAAUAUUGCACAAUGGGCGCAAGCCUGAUGCAGCGACGCCGCGUGAGGGAUGGAGGUCUUCGGGUUGUGAACCUCUUUCGCUCAUGGUCAAGCCGCAACAAUGGUUGUGGUGAGGGUAGUGGGUAAAGAAGCGCCGGCUAACUACGUG